rnacentral:rRNA from 1 species
UACGUAGGUGGCAAGCGUUGUCCGGAUUUAUUGGGCGUAAAGAGCGUGUAGGCGGUUAUACAGGUCCGCUGUGAAAACUGGAGGCUUAACCUCCAGACGUCGGUGGAAACCGUAUAACUAGAGUCCGGAAGAGGAGAGUGGAAUUCCUGGUGUAGCGGUGAAAUGCGCAGAUAUCAGGAAGAACACCCGUGGCGAAGGCGGCUCUCUGGGACGGUACUGCGCUGAGACGCGAAAGCGUGGGGAGCGAACAGG